GGGGGGGGGAGCAAGCUCCAUGCGUCAGUUCCCGCCAAAUUGUAGCUCUUUCGAGCGAGGAGGUGCUGAAACACUGCACAGAGACGGGCAAGCACUCAGAGGCAUUUCGUUUGCCUUGAUCCUGGAGGCGGCCUUCUCCCAUUGCCGAGGAUUUGAAGCGAACUCCUGGCAGAUCAGAAAUGUUCAGGCGAACGGCGGUUAUAUUUGUCCGUGGACCCAAGACUUCGUUGACGGGCAAAUAUGGAACCCUGCAACAAGGACUGUAGUGUGAAUAGCGUGCUGCGCUGCUCUCGCCAACUGAAAAGAACUCUGGUAAGAUGCAUGCUUGGUUACGAAAGUCUCACGCAAUCGCUUUUCACAUUGAAUUUGGUCGCAGGUGUGCUGUAAAUGCCGACUGCACAAUAUGUGACUGGCCCGCGGCUGCAUUGAAGGUAAGAUUGUGUUCUCAUUAUUCUAUUUAUUGUACCAUUUGUUUUCCAGUGACAUAGCCAACAACGAAAUCCAUCCUCUCUCCACAUAUUAUCUAGUCUGUGCGCUGUGGAGCUUGAAGCACUUCUCGGAAUUUCAGCACACUCGCAUUUAUUUUUUUCCCGACAGAAGAAAAAUGCAAGUCUAACAUCUCGACGGUAAAACGUCGCAUCUGCGCACAGGGCCAAGAGCACGAGAAGUGGCCGAAAGAAGGGAGCCGAUCCAACAGGAAUGCCGUCCGUCUUUAUAUUUAUAUAUGUCAGCGUUAUCAUGCCGUGAUCACAUGGACUGUACGGUUGCGUUGCACAAGGGCUGAUGCAAACGCUCCGUGCGAACAAUGUUGCAUGGAAAAUUAGUGCAUCUAUACAAUUGCA